rnacentral:rRNA from 1 species
AGUGAACGCUGGCGGUAGGCCUAACACAUGCAAGUCGAACGGCAGCACAGUAAGAGCUUGCUCUUACGGGUGGCGAGUGGCGGACGGGUGAGGAAUACAUCGGAAUCUACUUUUUCGUGGGGGAUAACGUAGGGAAACUUACGCUAAUACCGCAUACGACCUACGGGUGAAAGCAGGGGAUCUUCGGACCUUGCGCGAUUGAAUGAGCCGAUGUCGGAUUAGCUAGUUGGCGGGGUAAAGGCCCACCAAGGCGACGAUCCGUAGCUGGUCUGAGAGGAUGAUAAGCCACACUGGAACUGGGACACGGUCCAGACUCCUACGGGAGGCAGCAGUGGGGAAUAUUGGAAAAUGGGCGCAAGCCUGAUCCAGCCAUACCGGGUGGGUGAAGAAGGCCUUCGGGUUGUAAAGCCCUUUUGUUGGGAAAGAAAAGCAGCAGGUUAAUACCCCGCUGUUCGGACGGUACCCAAAGAAUAAGCACCGGCUAACCUCGU